rnacentral:misc_RNA from 1 species
CCCAAUAAUUAGCUCAACACAGAAAGAGGACAAAAGAUGCACAAAUUCACUUGAAACACAAAUGACGAUACUGGUUGGUGGAGACAUUUUAGUGAUAGUGGUCACUUUGGUUAUCAUAUAUCUGAAAAGAUAGAAAGAUAAUCAUUUAACAAGUUCCAUUAGUUCCUUUAGCAUCAUAUUAAGAAAUGGUCAAAGAAAAUUUCAAUUAUGACGUAUGCAUCAUAUUAAGAAAUGAUCAAAGCAAAUUUCAAUUAUUACGCAUGCAUCAUAUUAAGAAAUGAUCAAAGCAAAUUUCAAUUAUUACGC